UACGGAGGGUGCGAGCGUUGUCCGGAAUCAUUGGGCGUAAAGGGCGCGUAGGUGGCGGGACAAGCGUGCGGUGAAAGCUCGGGGCUCAACCCCGCGUCGGCCGUGCGAACUGUUUUGCUGGAGCACUGUAGAGGCAGGCGGAAUUCCGGGUGUAGCGGUGGAAUGCGUAGAGAUCCGGAAGAACACCGGUGGCGAAGGCGGCCUGCUGGGCAGUUGCUGACACUGAGGCGCGACAGCGUGGGGAGCAACAGGAUAGAAC
rnacentral:rRNA from 1 species